GGCGGCGGCUGCGGCCGUCAUCACGCCCCUCGCACAUUCCAGGACCGCUUGCUGCCGCCGUCGGGGCACCGCCUACCUGCGGGCUUAGUGAGCCCAUCCUGAUCUCGCCCGCUGCGCGCGGAGGAAAGAGGCGAACCGGCCGCGGGAGGAAGGCUCCGACGGUCCCUGCGAAUGUCCCCGCGCCCUGCGCCCCGGCUGCUGCGCCCCCGCUCCGGCCAGCCGAGAUCCCAGCCAGGGUGAGCUAGCGGGGCUCCCCGGCCCCCGCUUUCUCCUGCCCAGGAACCUGGAUCUUCUAGUUUAGCUCCGCUGAGGCUGAAGUGGUCAGACAUUGAGACAGAGAUAGACGCCAACUGGAAACCCAGGGACAAAUCAUUCCCAAACAAAGCCAGGAUUGUUCUGCCUUAUCAGGCUCUGGGAUGCUCUGUGCCCUAGUAGUUUGGACUCAGCAGUUGGACACUUGGCCCGCUGGAGCCCUGGGUCUGCGGCAGGAUGGGGCUGGAUUAGCCAGGCUGAGAAAGGCAAAGGCAGAGGAGGGCAGCUCUCAGCUGGAGAACAUCCUGCCUGCCUAUCCCAGCUUUGGCAGCAGGACACGCAGCGGCGGCAGGACACGCAACAGCUCCAGCAGCUCAAGCACCUGGGUCCUUAGUGAAAGAAAAUGCCUUAAUUAAAGCCCAUGAUUGGUAGUCUGCUGUUUAGGAGAAAAAGAAGAAUUUGAUCAAGGCUGUUUGUGUUUGGCUGAUGCGGACAAUACCGGAACUGGACAAGGAGGAAACCAUCCCCUGCUGGUACCCUAUGAUACACUUACAGCCAAAGAGAAAGCCAAGGAUUGGGGAAAAGUAUAGGACAUGCUCAAGUGCUGAAGAUCAAUGGCUGUGCUGUAUCCAGAGGAUUCAAGGCCCUCGAAUUGGACACACCCUCUAUUGAGAAGUGAUUUGCCUCUAGAUUCCUUCAGCACCUCUUUCGCUGUGUGGAUGAAGCCCAUCAGUAUCUUCUGGAAUUUGGAAAUGAUGCAACAUCGGUGGUCAACUGUCUUCACAUUUUGGGUCAGACUUCUGGCACAAGCUGACUCCUGAUAUGAACACAAUAAGAACGAGAUACAGAAGUCUCUUGAGACAAUGAUGGGAAGAAUCACACUUGAUUUACCAAUUUCCCCCCUGCCACCCUCCCCCAACACUGAGCAGAUAACUGACCAAUCCAGGAUGGCAGUUGCUGGCUGGGUUCCAGGCGGAAUCUUGGGGUUUGUUGUGCCUGGUGGAUCCACGGUAACUGGGCAGAGCCCUGUGCUGGAUCAGUGCCAUGGAGGGGCUGCCAUCCUCUGUGGAGCUUGGCUUUGAGCUGAUUCUUGGGCAGCUGAGUGAGAUGCUGGUAUUGCUGCUGCCCAAUGGCUUUGGUUCAUGGUCCACUUUCCAGAGCUUCCAGUGGGAGACAGUGGUGUGUCUGUAUGUCAUCAUCCCCUUCUUGGUAGGACUCGUCUUUACAUUGUGACUGCUUCGGUCUGUUCGAAGUCGACUUUACCUGAGACGUGAAAAGCAGCUCGCAAAAACACUGGCUGCACAGAUUGAGGAGAAAUGCCGACUCAUUGACAAGAUUUAUGCUGCUCAAAAGGAGAAUGAAGAGAUGGAGACAUCAUUAGAGAAGGCCAGGCUAGAGAGAGAGUCAUUAAAUAUACCCAGCCUCACGGUCACCUACAGAGAGAUGAUGAGACUCAACCUGAUGUUGAUGGAGGAAGUCAAUUCUCUGGCUCAAGAACUGGAGAAAGAGAGAGUCAAGCAGUCUAAACAAGAAGAAGAGAUGGUGGAGAUGCUCAAGUUCCUGGAAGAGGUCAUGAGAACCACCACCUCCCAGGGGGUCUUUCCAAAGCAUCCUGGAGGCCAAGCACCAAGCCUUGAUGGCCCUUUCCCCAAGAGUGAGCCUGGGGAGUAAAGUCAUGCCAUUCCCUCCCCACCACUCAGGCCUCCCCAGCUGCCAGGUCACAUCCAUCCCCUCUGAUGGCUCCCCACCUGAACUACACUGAGGCCAGUGGAUGCAGGAUGGCUUGUCCAACUUGACCUGCUGAGCAUGGCAGGGAGUUGCUUCCCAGUCAUCUUCUCCCAUCUAAAUGUCUUUCCAUUUUAAGAAUACACCAAGAAAUGUGGGACUUUCUUUAUGUUCACAGAAUGCUUGGGUUCUCUUUCGUUAGUGGUGAAAGAAAUGUCAUACUGAAGAGACAUUUGUCUCUUUGACUUUUACCUAUUUUGAAGCUUCCUUAAGCCACAUUUCUCAAAACAGUUUUGGUAACUAUUAUACAGUGAUCUUAUAAGUGAACUAUAUAUGUAUAUUAUUUUCUGUACAAAUUGCUUUAUAAGUUUGAAAGUGUAUGCAGUUUAUCAAUAUAGAUUUUUAGAUGACAUAGUAAUAUUAUUUUUCUAGAGUUAAAUUCCCAAUGAUUGUAAGUUGGUGAAAGCAACAUUUUUACCUGUGUUUGUAUCAUUUAAAAAAAACAAUCUGUUUUGAAAUAGUUAAAUGGUAUGCUUAGAAAUAAAUGUUAUCAUUUAAGAUUCAUUUUCUAAUAUAACAACGGUUACCUUUGAAAAAUUAAACUUGAUAAAUU
rnacentral:lncRNA from 1 species